UACGAACCGUGCGAACGUUGUUCGGAAUCACUGGGCUUAAAGGGCGCGUAGGCGGUCUGGCAAGUCUGGGGUGAAAUGCCGCGGCUCAACCGUGGAACUGCCUUAGAUACUGUCGGCCUCGAGGAAGGUAGGGGCAUGCGGAACUGUAGGUGGAGCGGUGAAAUGCGUUGAUAUCUACAGGAACUCCGGUGGCGAAAGCGGCGUGCUGGACCUUUUCUGACGCUGAGGCGCGAAAGCUAGGGGAGCAAACGGG
rnacentral:rRNA from 1 species